UUUCUCAUAUUCUGGUUUCAUUCCUUUGGAAAUUGAUAUCUUUUAGCCUUCUUAUUCAAUUGAGCUUUAUAUUACUGCUUUGAAUUCUUGUAUGCUCUUGUCCUUAAAAUUAUUUGUAUUUUUGAAAACUAUUGUGUAACGUUUUAGCUAUAUCGUAUUGACUCCUAUAGGCACAUGUAUAACCCAUUGUUCCGCAUUUGCUUUCGAUGUGUGCCUAUUCUAGUUUCAUUCCUUUGGAUAUUGAAUUCUUCUAACCUUCUUAUUUGAAUUGAGCUAAAUAUGAUUGCUUGGAAUCCCUGUACAUUCUUGUUUUCAUUUCAUUCCAAAUCUGAAUACAUUUGUGAGAGAUUUGUUCUUUGUUUCGUAUUGUCUCGAAAAGGCACAUGCACGUUUUGUUGUUCCGCGUGUGCUGCCGAUAUAUGCUACUUAUUGUUAAAACUGCCCUUUUGUACUCUGGUGUGUGGGAUUGUCUGGACCUUUGCUAGAAAUGGUAAAGGGUAUGCGCUUAUUGCCCGCUCUGUGGGGUCCCGCUCUGUGGGAUAUUCUGGACCUUUGCUAGAAAUGGUAAAGGGUAUGUGCUUAGAGCCUGCGAUGCUCUGCCGGCCCCCUCUGACUUCACCUAGACGUGGGUGGAUGGAGCUCCCAGACGUAGGAGACUUUUGUCAGGUGGUCAUUCAGAAAUGGGUGAAUCACAUUCUGACUGAGAUCCCACUACACCUUCUGUAUGUUUGAUAUGAUAUCCAUAGCUUUGGUUAUGUGUUUAUGUACAUGCUUUGGAUAAGAUUGAUAUGUUUGCAACGUCAAAGACGACGUUUGAGCUUCUGUACGGUAUUUGUUAUUGAUAUGCUCUGAAAUGUUUCAUCCAUUGUUGAUAUGUUUUCGAAAUGUUCCAUAUGUCGUUGAUAUGCUCCGGAACAUUUCAUAUGCUAUUGAUAUGCUCCAAUUACUCUGUGCUUCAUUUGCUAUGAACUGAUAUGUUCUGAAAUGUCCUAUCUGCCAUUGAUAUGCUCCAAUUACUCUAUGCUU
rnacentral:lncRNA from 1 species